UGAGGAAUAUUGGUCAAUGGACGAAAGUCUGAACCAGCCAUGCCGCGUGCAGGAUGACGGCUCUAUGAGUUGUAAACUGCUUUUGUAUUAGGGUAAACACCCCUACGUGUAGGGGCUUGAAAGUAUAAUACGAAUAAGGAUCGGCUAACUCCGUGCCAGCAGCCGCGGUAAUACGGAGGAUCCAAGCGUUAUCCGGAUUUAUUGGGUUUAAAGGGUGCGUAGGCGGUUUGAUAAGUUAGAGGUGAAAUACCGGUGCUCAACACCGGAACUGCCUCUAAUACUGUUGAACUAGAGAGUAGUUGC
rnacentral:rRNA from 1 species